rnacentral:tRNA from 2 species
GGCGGUGUAGCCAAGUGGCUAAGGCAUAGGUCUGCAACACCUUGAUCGUCGGUUCGAAUCCGAUUGCCGCCUCCA